AGUGAACGCUGGCGGUAGGCCUAACACAUGCAAGUCGAACGGCAGCACAGUAAGAGCUUGCUCUUACGGGUGGCGAGUGGCGGACGGGUGAGGAAUACAUCGGAAUCUACUUUUUCGUGGGGGAUAACGUAGGGAAACUUACGCUAAUACCGCAUACGACCUACGGGUGAAAGCAGGGGAUCUUCGCACCUUGCGCGAUUGAAUGAGCCGAUGUCGGAUUAGCUAGUUGGCGGGGUAAAGGCCCACCAAGGCGACGAUCCGUAGCUGGUCUGAGAGGAUGAUCGGCCACACUGGAACUGAGACACGGUCCAGACUCCUACGGGAGGCAGCAGUAGGGAAUAUUGGACAAUGGGCGCAAGCCUGAUCCAGCCAUACCGCGUGGGUGAAGAAGGCCUUCGGGUUGUAAAGCCCUUUUGUUGGGAAAGAAAAGCAGCAGGUUAAUACCCCGCUGUUCUGACGGUACCCAAAGAAUAAGCACCGGCUAACUUCGUG
rnacentral:rRNA from 1 species